UCCCUGGUGGCCUAGUGGUUAGGAUUUGGCACUUGCACUGCUACAGCCUAGGUUCAAACCCUGGUCUGGGAA
rnacentral:tRNA from 1 species